GGUAAGAGCAAGUAAGAGAGCCGAGGCGCCCACACGGACAAAGCGGUGGGCCGCAGGUGGCCCAGCGCGCCGUCACCGGCUCACCCACACCAAACGCUCACACCCCAGCGUGCAGACCACCGGGUAAAGCACGGCCUGCCCCGCAAAGGGGACACGUGUGCCCGUCUUACCAGCUCCACCCGCUCCGCCUACACUCCACCGCCAGCGGUGACCUAGGAGGCCCUUGGAAAAGGAAGCAGCACCGAAGGGCGACCUGGAACGCUGCAGCGGCACCACGGAGGGCCAGGGGCCACACGCUGCCACUGCCUCGGCCACAAGCCGUGGGGUGGCAGCAGGGCCUUCCCCACCACAGGGAGGGCCACUCACAGCCACAGCCAAGAGGAAGUCACAACACACUUCAGCUGUGCCAAGGAGGAUACGAGCUGAGGAAGAGCCUUACAACGGGUAGAGUCAAGAGGCCAUGGAGAAUAAUGUGCAAGAGGUCCUUACAGAGAGCUGACCUGGGGAAGAAUCAAGGUUCUUCUGUUCUCCAGAAAAUAUUUUCUAACCAUGCUUUGGAAGAUGGUGGAGUCAUUAGAUGCAAGGAGAUGGAAUUCCUAAUCACUAAUGAGGAAGGCUUACCACUGAACCCUCAACUGGAUCAUGACAUGAAUGAGAAAUUACCCUUUACUGUGCAUAAAUCCCUAAGAGUAGAAGAGGUGGAUUUUAUGGUAAGUAUUGUUUAUAUUUAUAAAAAUUGACAUGUUUUUGAAAGUGGUUGUAUAAUUUGUACUCUCACCAGCAACAUAUGAGCGUUUAUUUUACAUUUCCCUGAUGACUAAUGGUGAGUAUGUUUUUAUGUGCUUAUUGCUAUUCUUAUAUUUUCUUUUGUAAAGUGCUAUUCAAGUCUUUUGCUCAUUAAAAAAACUUGUUUCUUUGUCACUGAAUUGUAAGAGCCUUUCAUAUAUUCUUUAUAUACAGUUAUUUUUAUGUAUGUUUAUGUAUUCUGGAUAAAAGCCAUUUGUUAGAAAUUGUAAAUAUUGUCUCCUUUUUCAUUUUCUUAAAGUUAUACUUUAAAAAGUAGAUGUUUAAAUAAUAUUUUCCUUAAUACUUUUUUGGUCUGAGAAAAUGUUUGUCUUCUCUAAUGUCACCUUUUUAAAGUGAAGAGUUAUCUCUGAUUCUAGGGAUUGUUCACAGGCAUUCAAUAGUGAUGUCUAUGCAAUUGUUGAAUUCAUGAUUAUUAGAGCUGGAGGAGCAUGGAUCUAAUGCAGCUAAUUGUCAUCCCAUUUAGUUGCUGAUUAAGAACACAGGUGGCUAGUUCAAGCCAUAUGUGACACCAUCAGAUUGGGAUUGAAUCUGUCAUAAUGUUGCCACUUAAUUUGAUCUUUGCAGCUUUUGUUCUCAAGGCACCAAAGAAGCAAGUUCAGUAUUAACCACACAGUUGCAAGCAAUAGAAAGCCAACCUGUUUUAAGCAAUAAAUGGAUUUAUAGGAAGGGUAUUGAGUAGCUCACAAGAAUUGGGGGAAUCUGCAAAAAUAGUCUUAGAAAACAGGCAGAAACCAAGAGGACUCUCGAGGCAGAAAGGCUGGAAGAUUCUGGCAUGAUGCUUUCUCUGCUAGCGCUCUGCCAACAUCUUCUUUGUGGCAUUCCUCCAGUUAACAGAGAAGUUUGGUUUCCUGGAACCUCAGAUGAUGGGUAAUAUAUUAUGUGUUCAUCUACCUUCACAUGGCUUCAGUUCCCUACCCUCAUAUGUGAUAAAUUCCUUAAGUGUCCCUAAUCCAUAGAAUGAGCCUUAAUGAUUUUACCAAUGGCCCUCAUCAAUAUUUCACAAUAAUAACUGGCCCCUACUGCAGUUCAGGGCUGAUUAUUUCCACUUCUGGGGAUAAGAAACUGGAGAAAGAGAAGCAAUUAUUGCAUCUUGCACUGACUGAUGGAGUGCUUCUCAUCCGUAUCAAGUCAGAUCAUAAAAUACAUAAAACUGAAUAAAAAAUUAGCAGCAUGUAGAAAAGUGUUUCUACUGACCUCAAAAGCAGUCAAGGAGUCACUGAUCUGGGGUCACAAGAAGGACUAUUAUCAUUGCCUGUUUUCCAUGAAGUGUUUACACUUGACACUCUAUUUGGCAAUAAGCUCAAGGUUAUGCUGUCAGUGCAAGAUCAUUAGCUUUACAAUUUUUCAGAAAGUGUUUGCCUUAGCAAAUCCUCAUUCCAACCUCAAUGAACAUGUUUAUGUCCAGGUGUAAAUCCUUUUGCUGGAAGAUCUGCUUGCUAAUUACACUGGCUGUUGUUCUUUAUUUCUCUGUGCAUGAAUUGGGCAGCAGAAAUUCAUCAGAAACUUUCUCUUCCUGAAUGCCACUAGUGGAAGUUUUUAACAUAAGCUUGGGUGGUUGUGAAUUGGUAAGCAGUUUCCUCCUGUUAGCUAUCCAGAGCAAGGUCUAAGGAACUGUGUCUCUUUCACCUCAACAUCAUCAAGGAAACAAGAAAAAGUGACAGAUGUCUAGUUAUUUUUGGUUAAAGUGGUGUCAGUUUGAUGUCAGAAAAUGUUUGGGCUGAUGAAUAUCUUCUUUUUAAAUUUUCCCCUGAAUGCUCCUUGAAAAGGAAGGCAAAGUGCUUUGGUGGUGGGUGGAGAGGCCUGGCUUUUGGUGAAUGCACAUGAGACUAACUAAAGAGUAACUAGAACUUGGUAGGUAUUGUGUCAGGACUUGCAGUUGUCCCUACAUUAAAAAAACAGAACAAAACCCUCAGUCUAGGAGAGAGAACACCAUGUGAAGAAGUCAUGACAAUAGUAUAUAAUUCAUAUAAGGGAAUUGUAUUUUUCCACAGAGGCAAAAGAAAUGGCUUUUUGGGAGGAGCACAUUGAUAAAGUAUAUAAGGCAAGGUUCUCCAGAGAAAGAGAACAAAUAGGAUUUAUUUGUUUGUUUGUUUGUUUGUUUAUUAUAGGUAUUGACUUGUGUGAUUAGGGAGGUAAAAAAGUCUCAUGAUUGCUGUCUGCAAGCUGGAAACCCAGGAAAGCUGGUGGUAUAAGUCCUGCCAAGUCUAAAGGCCCAAGUGCCAUUGUCUGGGGGCAGAAGGAAAUGAGUGUCCAAGCUCAGAUAGAACAAAUUUACCCUUUCCUUGCCUUUUUGGUCUAUUCAGACCCUUAAUAGAUUGGAUUGGAUAAUGCCUACCACCAUGUUUGAAGGUGAUCUUCUUUACUUUGUCUACCAAUUCACAUGCUAAUCUCUUCUAGAAGCACUCACAGAUAUUCCCAGAAAUAAUGUUUCACCAGCUAAUUGGGCAUUUCAAAACCCAGUCAAGUUGACACAUAAAAUUAACCAUCACGUAAGGCUUCAUAUAGGAGGUGACAUUUUUUGUGGUCUUACAGGUAAUUGAGAGAUUAACAAAUUUGGUUUUAAAAUCUGCUAUACAUUCAACGUUUUCAGUGUUAAAUUUGACCUAUACAGUCACAUAUAUAUUACCACUUUUUCUCACUCAUUCCUUCGGUGACUAUUGAAAUAAUAUUUUACAUUUUUAUGUAUCACAAAAUUAAAGUUAUACAUACAUAUAUACGUACAUAGUUUUAAUUGAUAGACCUGGUUAGGGAGGUCUCUGGAGUCUGAUCCCAAGAAAAUACUGAGGCAGAACACAUUUGAAAAGGACAAGGCCUUUAUAAUGGUCAUCCAAGAAUCUUGCUAGCCGGUGGCAUGUUACCCUGAAAGCAAAAACGCACUGAAAUAUGACUUUGUAGAGUCAGAAGAUGUGGGUUGUAUUUCUGGCUUGGCCACAUUGAAAGUGUGUGAUUUCACAUAAAGCCAUCUGUCCUACUUCUAUUCCCAAGGUUAUGGUGAGUAUCAAGCCAAAUAAAAUAGUUGUAUUAGUCAAGGUUUCCCAGAGAAACAGAACCAAUAAAGACAUUUAGCGUAAGAAAUUGGCUCACAGUAUUAUGGAGGCUGCCAAGUCCAAAUAUCCACAGUUGACAACCUGGAGACUCAGUAGAACUGAAAGUGUAGUUCUAGUCUGAAAAAGUGUAGUUCUAGUCUAGGCUUGAGAAAGAACCAGAAGAGCUAAUGCUAUAGUUUCAGUCCUAAGGCCAGCAGGACUUGAGAACCAGGAAGAGCUGAUGUUCCAGUUCAAAUCCAAGCAGGAAAUAAAGUCCCAGCUCAAAGGCAGUCAGGCAAGAGGAAGUCUCUCUUACUUCAAAUGUGCACUUAGCGUCCUCUAUUUUCUGGAUGUUGAUGAUACAGAGACGAAUGAGAGCAAAUUACCAUGAGGUUCUCCAAGUCUAGAAGAUGAUUUUUCCCACCUGGAUAGAGGCAGAGGACUGUGGAAUGUGGGGUUAUACACCCAGAACACCAGGUUCAGAUCCCAGGUCCACCCUUGCUAGCUGUGACACCUUGAGGACAUCGUGCCAUCUCUCUAUGCCUUAAUUUUCUUACUGGUAAAAUCCUCUACCAAGAGAAACAUAUAGCACAAGCCAAAAACAGUUUCCUGCAGCAUUUUUUCAUGGGAUCUGCAUUUGAGAAAAUUGGUUUUCCAAAGGAAUAAAAAGGUAAGAUCAUAUCAGAGCAGAGAUUGGCCAAAAAAACCAAUACAUUCCAACAUGUAUGAAUUUUAAGUGUGUUAAUUCUCACAUAAAAAUAGAAGCAUACAAUAUCUUUGUAAUUAAAUUUGAUUUAAUGAAAGUGAGACUUUCUCCCCUAAGAGUUUAUUAAAUGCUUUGAGGUGGGGUGGGAGAAGCAUGAAAAAUAAUUUCAGGGGUGCC